UACGGGGGGAGCAAGCGUUGUUCGGAAUUACUGGGCGUAAAGGGCGCGUAGGCGGUCAGCAGAAGCUAGUUGUGAAAUCUCCGAGCUUAACUCGGAAAGGUCAACUGAUACUGUGCGACUAGAGUGCGGAAGGGGCAACUGGAAUUCUUGGUGUAGCGGUGAAAUGCGUAGAUAUCAAGAGGAACACCUGCGGCGAAGGCGGGUUGCUGGGCCGACACUGACGCUGAGGCGCGAAAGCCAGGGGAGCGAACGGG
rnacentral:rRNA from 1 species